UUUAUUUCAAUCCUUUGGCAUACUCAUUUAUGUUGUUUUGAUUGAUUGUAUAUCUAAAAUCUCGAAAAUGGGGUUAGAAGGAUUAAAGUUUAUAGAUGAGUCAGUGGUACCGUAUAGACUCUUAUGUUUUUCUUCACGUUUUAGGGGCAACGUUGAGUCUAGUGGUUCAGUGAUUAAGUGUUAGUUUUUCCUUAGGUCUUAAUUUUUCCAUUUAAUUUUUUGUUUUAAAAAGUUAAUAACAAAACCCCAAAUUAACUCUCACAUAUUUUUGCCUCACGCUCUCCCUCUUAUGUCAGUUUCUCCCCUUCUCUUUCAAGGUUUCAGAUUUUGAUUUCUCUCUCUCUCUCUCUCUCUCUCUUUCUCCUUUGAUUUUCUUUUCUUCCUUUUUGGGUCCACAUUAUUAUUAAUUUUCGCUCAGUAAGGUUUGGUUGUUCUCUGGAUUUCCAUUAAAGUUAAGUGUCGAAUCAGGAUAGUAAGGUUAAGGUGAAUCAAUUGUUCGUGGGUGCUUGGAAUCACUUUCUAAAGUGUGUUUCUGAAACUACUGCAAUUAGGGGUCGAUUUGAUGUUGGUUUUAUUUUCUCUUUUUCUAUUGUGAAAUAUAUGUGUUGUUUCUUGUACUACCUGAUCUAGUGUAGAAACUUGAAAAUAGCCUGAAAACAUGUAUAGCUGCAGUAGUUAGAAUUUUGUCAGCACAUAAAAAUGUAUUUUAAAUUUUUAACGACAAA